GUCCCGUUCGAAGAUUCGAAUGCUCAGUGAAAAAAUAGACCGAUCGCACAGCCCAAAUCCAUGGAACUGUUUGGGCAUGAAAAUGUGCUUGCGGUCAGUCAUAAAGGACGUCCGACUAACCUUUGAACUACUGGACGGAUUUUUAUGAUUUUUGAGUAUGUUUAUAUUUAAAGGACGCUGAUUUCAAAUAUGUAACUUAAUAUUGCAUGUAUACUUUUAAAGUUAUAAGAAUUGUGUAAAAACUGUAUAUUUUCUACCUGUGAUAAUUAAGUUAUUCUAUUGUGUUGAGAUAAUUGUAUCACAGGCAGAGGGGAGGAUUUCUGCUGGGAUGAAUGGGGGUGGUUUACUUUAUUGUAUGUGUUGUAAUGUUU